rnacentral:lncRNA from 1 species
GUAUACUGAUUUUUUGACGGACUGCCCAGGUUAACUGUUCCAGAGCUAGGAAUGCCAUCUGUGUACUUGUGUCAAACGUACUUUAGAGCUAGAGAGGUACACAAGAGAAGAAGAAAGCCAGCAGAAAGCCAUCCAUUCCAGCGACUCUACAAGAGAGAAGUGACUGCAGAAAAUUGGAAUGCAAGAUUCAGAAAACAGACUUUGUAUAAGAUUAAGAUUGUGCUGAGAACUGGUAGUUGGGGAACAGUACUGCACUAGCACAGAAACGUGGCUUUUGUAUUGGAGCCAAUGCAUAACUGAUAUAGAUCUCUUGCAGGGGCAUCUGAUCUGUUUAUGAUCAAAGUAGAACAAACCCUAGCAUCCAUCUUUUAUACAGUGGGAGCAACUCUGUGUACAUACUGUACAGAGAUCAAGAUUAGAGAAUUCCAUCUCUAAAGGGGAGAAAAAGGAAAAAAACAGAAUAAAGUAACCUCACAUUUCUUUUUAAUUGCCUUG